rnacentral:rRNA from 1 species
CCUACGGGAGGCAGCAGUGGGGAAUAUUGCACAAUGGGGGGAACCCUGAUGCAGCAACGCCGCGUGGGUGAAGAAGUACUCCGGUAUGUAAAGCCCUGUCAGCAGGGAAGAAAAUGACGGUACCUGACCAAGAAGCCCCGGCUAACUCCGUGCCAGCAGCCGCGGUAAUACGUAGGGGGCAAGCGUUAUCCGGAUUUAAUGGGUGUAAAGGGAGCGUAGACGGCGAUGCCAGUAUGAAGUGAAAGGCGGGGGCCCAACCCCCGGACUGCUUUGGAAACUGUAUGGCUGGAGUGCAGGAGAGGUAAGUGGAAUUCCUAGUGUAGCGGUGAAAUGCGUAGAUAUUAGGAGGAACACCAGUGGCGAAGGCGGCUUACUGGACUGUAACUGACGUUGAGGCUCUAAAGCGUGGGGAGCAAACAGGAUUAGAUACCCGGGUAGUC